rnacentral:rRNA from 1 species
GAUUAUGGCUCAGGAUGAACGCUGGCGGCGUGCCUAAUACAUGCAAGUCGAGCGAGGUAGCUUGCUACCUAGCGGCGAACGGGUGAGUAACACGUAGGUAACCUGCCUUUAAGACUGGGAUACCCGGACGAAAGUUCGGCUAAUACCGGAUAACAACGGAGAUGGCAUCUUCUCCGCUUGAAAGGUGCGUUUGCACCACUUUUAGAUGGACCUGCGGCACAUUAGCUAGUUGGUGAGAUAACAGCCCACCAAGGCGAGGAUGUGUAGCCGACCUGAGAGGGUGACCGGCCACAAUGGGACUGAGACACGGCCCAUACUCCUACGGGAGGCAGCAGUAGGGAGUUUUCGGCAAUGGGCGAAAGCCUGACCGAGCAACGCCGCGUGAGUGAAUGAAGGUCUUCGGAUUGUAAAGCUCUGUUGCGAGGGACGAAACGUACGAUCAGGAAAUGGGUCGUAUUUGACUAUACCUCGCCAGAAAGUGACGGCUAACUACGUGCCAGCCGCGGC